rnacentral:rRNA from 1 species
UACGGGGGGUGCGAGCGUUGUCCGGAAUCACUGGGCGUAAAGGGCGCGUAGGUGGUCUGAUAAGGGUGUGGUGAAAGCCCGGGGCUCAACCCCGGGUCGGCCGUGCCGACUGUUGGACUAGAGUGCUGUAGGGGCAGGCGGAAUUCCGGGUGUAGCGGUGGAAUGCGUAGAGAUCCGGAGGAAGACCGGUGGCGAAGGCGGCAUCCUGGACUGGUCCUGACACUCAGGAGCGAAAGCGUGGGGGAGCGAUCCGG